rnacentral:rRNA from 1 species
CGUGUAGGUGGUUGGAUUAGUCGGAAGUGAAAGCCCACGGCUCAACCGUGGAAUUGCUUUCGAAACUGUCCUUCUGGAGUACGGGAGAGGGUAGUGGAAUUCCAUGUGUAGAGGUGAAAUUCGUAGAUAUAUGGAGGAACACCGGUGGCGAAGGCGACUACCUGGCCCGUAACUGACGCUGAGACGCGAGAGCGUGGGGAGCAAACA